GAUGAAGACGUAGUGAAAUGCGAUAACUAGUGUGAAUUGCAGAAUUCCGUGAAUCAUCGAGUCUUUGAACGCACAUUGCGCCCCCUGGUAUUCCGGGGGGCAUGCCUGUCCGAGCGUCAUUGCUGCCCAUCAAGCACGGCUUGUGUGUUGGGUCGUCGUCCCCUCUCCGGGGGGGACGGGCCCCAAAGGCAGCGGCGGCACCGCGUCCGAUCCUCGAGCGUAUGGGGCUUUGUCACCCGCUCUGUAGGCCCGGCCGGCGCUUGCCGAACGCAAAUCAAUCUUUUUCCAGGUUGACCUCGGAUCAGGUAGGGAUACCCGCUGAACUUAAGCAUAUCAAUAAGCGGAGGA
rnacentral:misc_RNA from 1 species